UGCACUCGGAUGUCGCUUGGGAUA
rnacentral:siRNA from 1 species